CCUACGGGUGGCAGCAGUGAGGAAUAUUGGUCAAUGGGCGGAAUCCUGAACCAGCCAUGCCGCGUGCAGGACGACGGCCCUACGGGUUGUAAACUGCUUUUAUACGGGGAUAACGCGCUCUACGUGUAGGGCUUUGCAUGUACGGUACGAAUAAGGACCGGCUAAUUCCGUGCCAGCAGCCGCGGUAAUACGGAGGGUCCGGGCGUUAUCCGGAUUCAUUGGGUUUAAAGGGUGCGUAGGUUGUUUUGUAAGUUUGCGGUGAAAUACCAGGGCUCAACCUGGGCGUUGCAGCGGAUACUGUAGGACUAGAGAUCGGAGGAAGCAGGCGGAAUGUGUAGUGUAGCGGUGAAAUGCAUAGAUAUGACGAAGAACACCGAUUGCGAAGGCAGCUUGCUGGGGCGGAACUGACGCUGAUGCUCGAAAGCGCGGGGAUCGAACAGGAUUAGAUACCCGUGUAGUC
rnacentral:rRNA from 1 species